AGGGAUGUAGCUCAGUUGGUAGAGUGCUUGCCUUGCAUGAACAAGAUCUGGGUUCAAUCCCCAGCACACCAC
rfam:Ictidomys tridecemlineatus contig094275, whole genome shotgun sequence.